AUUGAACGCUGGCGGCAGGCCUAACACAUGCAAGUCGAACGAGUGGCGGACGGGUGAGUAAUGUAUGGGCAACUGCCUGAUGGAGGGGGAUAACUACGGGAAACGGUAGAUAAUACCGCAUACCAUCAGAUGUGCCCAGAUUGGAUUAGCUAGUUGGGGGGGUAAAGGCUCACCAAGGCGACGAUCCCUAGCUGGUCUGAGAGGAUGAACAGCCACACUGGAACUGAGACACGGUCCAGACUCCUACGGGAGGCAGCAGUGGGGAAUAUUGCACAAUGGGCGCAAGCCUGAUGCAGCCAUGCCGCGUGUAUGAAGAAGGCCUUCGGGUUGUAAAGUACUUUCAGCGGGGAGGCGUUACCCGCAGAAGAAGCACCGGCUAACUCCGUGCCAGCAGCCGCGGUAAUUC
rnacentral:rRNA from 1 species